UGGAGCUCCGCUAAGAGGCCCUUCAUGAUUGCCGUCGUCACCGGGGCCGAGUCUAGGUGAGGGGUUGUGGGUUUACUGGUUCUCUGCUCAGGCGUCUGACCUCCUGGUGUUCCCAGUGAGAAAUCCUCUGAGAUCUUCGAGUCGUCUGAGAGGUCAGCCAUGUUGGGCUCUGCUCCCCUCCGGGCCUGGCGCCAUAGAUUGCCGAUGUUCAUGCCCAUAUUCGGUUUCUCGGCCCUUGGCUUCUUGGUCUUUCUCCCCAUAGCGUGAGGGUGUGCUGUGGGCUCAGUUAGCCUGGUUUUGGGGUGUGAAAGACCACUUCAAUCGCUUGGUGAUUUGUUUGGUGGCCUGGAGUUCAGCGAACAUGCGGCCAUUCAGC